AGAGUUUGAUCCUGGCUCAGGACGAACGCUGGCGGCGUGCCUAACACAUGCAAGUCGAGCGAUGAAGCCCUUCGGGGUGGAUUAGCGGCGGACGGGUGAGUAACACGUGGGUAACCUGCCUCAAAGAGGGGGAUAGCCUCCCGAAAGGGAGAUUAAUACCGCAUAAUAUUAGUUUUUCGCAUGAGGAACUAAUUAAAGGAGUAAUCCGCUUUGAAAUGGACCCGCGGCGCAUUAGCUAGUUGGUGAGGUAACGGCUCACCAAGGCGACGAUGCGUAGCCGACCUGAGAGGGUGAUCGGCCACAUUGGAACUGAGACACGGUCCAGACUCCUACGGGAGGCAGCAGUGGGGAAUAUUGCACAAUGGGCGAAAGCCUGAUGCAGCAACGCCGCGUGAGUGAUGAAGGCCUUCGGGUUGUAAAGCUCUGUCUUUGGGGACGAUAAUGACGGUACCCAAGGAGGAAGCCACGGCUAACUACGUGCCAGCAGCCGCGGUAAUACGUAGGUGGCGAGCGUUGUCCGGAUUUACUGGGCGUAAAGGAUGCGUAGGCGGAUAUUUAAGUGAGAUGUGAAAUACCCGGGCUUAACUUGGGUGCUGCAUUUCAAACUGGAUAUCUAGAGUGCGGGAGAGGAGAAUGGAAUUCCUAGUGUAGCGGUGAAAUGCGUAGAGAUUAGGAAGAACACCAGUGGCGAAGGCGAUUCUCUGGACCGUAACUGACGCUGAGGCAUGAAAGCGUGGGUAGCAAACAGGAUUAGAUACCCUGGUAGUCCACGCCGUAAACGAUGAGUACUAGGUGUAGGA
rnacentral:rRNA from 1 species